GGAGGAAACAGUGCUGUGACUUCCAGGAGUGAGAGUCAGGAGGCUUCAGCCAAGGAAGAGGAAAGUUGCAUUGACUUCUGAGAGGUCUUUCCCACCUAAAAAAAUUCACUUUAUUUAAAAUAUGUAUUAAGCGAGAGAGAGAAGAGGAAGUGGGAGCCAGCCAAAAGAGGCCAGAGGGUAAUUAACAGCUGCCGGAUGUACCACGGCCCUGCCGGCCAUCACUAAGGACUGUUCUCAGAUGAGCACCCGUUUCAUCAGCUGCCGGAUGUACCACGGCCCUGCCGGCCAUCACUAAGGACUGUUCUCAGAUGAGCACCCGUUUCAUCUGGUGGUAAUUCCCGUUGAUCAUUAUAAAUUAUUUAAGCCACAAAUGCUGGGCCACCCAUUAAACCAAGAAUGGGGAAGGUUGGCCAAAAUUUGCCUCUGGGAAGGGUCCUACUCCCCUGAAUUCGGUGGAAAUAGGAGUGAGAAGUAAGAGGUUUGAAGUUAGAAGUGCAAUUCUGUGCAAUGUUCUGAAAACUAAAAUUGGCCACAUCCUGAAAAAUUCAGAAGGCUAAAAAUGUGCAGAACCACCAUGAUCCAGAAUGACUAUCUUAUUAUGGCGAGGAUGCAGAUAAUGUGUCAUCUGUCCCUGAUGGGUAGGUGUCGGUCUGGCACAGAGAAUGUCUGGUGAGCAGGAAAUGAGGGCUGAAUGUAAGCUGGUAUCUCCCACGUUCUUCUGAACUUACUUUUUCUUGAUAGCAUCUUUUUCACACAGAUACAAAUGCAAUACAUAUUCAUCAAAGAAUAUUCAGAAAAUACACAAAAAUAAAAAGAAAAUAAAGGUCAACUUUAUUCCACCAUUGAAAGACAUCAUUGCUACUAUUCAGGUUUUUUUUUUUUAAAUUCUAUGUAUAAGGUGAUGGGUAUUAACUAAACAGAUUGUGGUAGCCGCUGUGUAAUAUACACAUACAUUGAGUCAUUAUGUUGUAUACCUUAAAUGUAUACAAUACCAUAUGUCAAUUAUAUCUCAGUAAAACUGGAAUUCUGACCAACAUAGACAGUUUAUUAAAAAGACAUAACUUUGGGAUCCGAGCUGGGCAGGCAGGAGAGAGGCGCCGCUGCGUACACCUACACUGCUGAGCAGCACCAACUUUCGCAGGUUCCUGCAUCCAUCCGACUCUGUAUAGCACUGGUCGCCGGGAGCAGGAGAAAAAUUAAAAAAAAAAUAAAUAAAUAAAAAGACAUAACUUUGUCAACAAAGGUCUGUCUAGUCAAAGCUAUGGUUUUUCCAGUAGUCAUGUAUGGAUGUGAGAGUUGGACCAUAGCAAAAGCUGAGCGCUGAAAAAUUGAUGCUUUAGAACUGUGGUGUUGGAGAAGACUCUUGAGAAGCCCUUGGACUGCAAGGAGAUUCAACCAGUCAAUCCUAAAGGAAAUCAGUCCUGAAUAUUCAUUGGAAGGACUGAUGUUGAAGCUGAAACUCCAAUACUUUGGCCACCUGAUGUAAAGAACUGACUCGUUGGAAAAGACCCUGAUGCUGGGAAAGAUUGAAGGUGGGAAGGAAAGGGGACGACAGAGGAUGAGAUGGUUUGAUGGCAUCACCGACUCAAUGGACAUGAGUUUGAAGCGUUUAUAUCCAGGAACGUUCCUACUAGGAGUGUGAGUGAAGGCCUGUUUAGAUCCAGGUGGGCCAGAAGCUGAGGUGGAAGCCCGCCAGGUUCCUCUGUCCAAGGGAUUCUCCAUGCAAGAAUACUCGAGUGGGCUGCCAUGCCCUCCUCCAGGGAAUCUUCCUGACCCAGGGAUCGAACCCGCGUCCCUUGCAUCUCCUACACUGGCGGGCGAGUCCUUCACCCAGGGAUGGAACCCGCGUCUCUCACAUCUCCUGCACUGGCGGGCGAGUCCUUCACCCAGGGAUGGAACCCGCAUCUCUUACGUCUCCUGCACUGGCGGGCGAGUCCUUCACCCAGGGAUGGAACCCGUGUCUCUCACGUCUCCUGCACUGGCGGGCGGGUCCUUCACCCAGGGAUCGAACCCGCGUCUCUUGCGUCUCCUGCACUGGCGGGCGGGUCCUUCAACACUAGCGCCCCUGGGAAGUCCACUCCAGUGUUUACAUCAUGCUACUUAAGACUCCAUCUCUUUAGAGUCAUUCUUGUUUUCCUGCUGGCCUUGAAGGAAUAAGCAGCCAUGCUGUGCAUGUCAGAAGGAAGAUUCACAUGCCAGGAAAAUGCAGGGAACCUGCAGGAACUGACAACCUCAGUCCGAUAACCCCAAGGAACUGAAUUCUGCCAACACCCUGAAUGAGCUUGGGAGCAGAACCUUCCCCAAUCAAGUCUUCAGAUGAGAGUGCAGCCUGGCCAACACCUGGGUUACAGCCUGGUGAGACCCUGAAGCAGAGAACCAGCUCAGCAGGCUUCGCCGCCUGACCCACAGAAGUGUGCCUAGAUUCUUAUCCCUGCACAGGACAAUAAAACAGCAGAUGAUCCGGUAACAGUGACAAGAACAAAAUCCCACCUACAACUUAAAAAACAUGAAGUGAAUAUUCUUUUCCAUUAUGUGCAUAAUGAGGUAUUAAAUACAUUUCCCUGUGCUAUAAGGUAGGAACACAGAUGGCUUUUUUCUGACACUGACUUGAAAAGCAUCCCUGAAGCAACCAGACAGAGCCGUUGUGAGAUUCAGGUUCUGCUGGAAGUCCAGCACGAUGACUGGGGAAGUUUCAGCUAGCUGUGGUGGUAGAAUGGCCCUCCCUCAAAACCAAGUGGCUAAAAAGAACUGUUGACUAUUAGUGACAAGACAAUGCAUCUGCCGGAUGGACCCACUGAUCUGGGCUGAGCUCUGCCCACCUCCGCCGGGCUUAUUGGCAUCCCUUUGGUCAGCUGGAGGGCUGGGUCCGCCCACCUCCGCUGGGCUUACUGGAAUCCCUUUGGUCAGCCAUGGCCCCUUUUGGCCAUGGCUGGGACACAUCAGCUUUGCUCCACAUGGCCUUUGAUCCUGCCCGCAGGUCAGUCUGGAUUUAUCCACAUGGCAGCAGCAAGGUUCCAAUAGAGUGGAAGCAUGGAAGGUCUCUUAAGCUCCGGAGUGAACUGGAUCGUUGUCACUUUGACCUCAUCAUACCGACAAAAUCAAGCCCAGAUUCCAGAGGAAGGGAAAUAGACAAUCCUCCUGGUGGGAGGAGCUACCAACUCAUCUUGGAUGCAGGAGGGAAAGAAUGGAAGCCAGAUUUGCAUCCAUGUACCAAAGGGAACUUGAGUAUUCUCAGCUCGCAUGGUAAACACCUUAUUUUUAGGGGGGAGAGUAGGAUAAAAAUAAAUCUUAUGUGUGAAAGAAGUUCCCAUACCCAAUUUAGAGACAAUCUGGUUUAUUAAAAUAGAAGCAUCUCCCCCCAAUUUUCUUUUUUAGUUCUCUUAUUUCUACCAUUUGUUGACUAUUCCACCCAAUGUAGAGAGAAGCUUUCAUAUUUAAUUUGUUUUUUGUUUUGUUUUGUUUUGAUUAUACUUGAAUUAUUUUUGGCUUUGUUUGUUAAUAUAUUAUUGUGGAAUUUAGGUGUCUUAAAACACGAGAAUAUUUUCUAUUCUUCUGAGUUUUAUUUUUAGGUAUCUUAAAAUGAAUUGCUAUCCAUAGUGGAAUACUUGAAAUCAUUGUGUGAAAAGGUGUGAUUCAGUUUUCACUUCUUCAAGAAACAUUGUUGAGUGAGUGCCUCUUGGGUACUUAAGAAGCUGGGCUAGUUGCUCAAGAUACAGUAAAGAACAAGGCACACAAAAUCCCUGCGCUCAGUGAAGUGUGAACUUGACUGGGGUGGGGUCAGGGUACAGAUAGGAAGCCAGCAAACAAGCAAAUAAAAGAGUCAGCAAACCAUGACUGAUUAUACGAAGUGCUGAGAAGGAUAAAGCUGGACGCUGGGGAGCUUGAUUUAAUCAGAGACCUCCACCUCCACUUACAGGAGAUUGGAGGAGGUAAAAGUGAAGCAGAGGCUCUCUUUGGGAAAAGAAGACAGCAGUGCAAAGGGCCAGGGGCGGAGCGGUCCAGAGUGGGCAGACCUGGAUGAGCCUCAAGACGCCUUCAUGGAGAGUUUCAGGGACAGAAUCCAGUGUCCCAAGUGCCAUCAGCUCUCUGCUUCUGUCCAUCUGGAGUCAUCAGUCUUUGGAGUGCUUUCCUUCCCAGGGGCAGCAGUUGCCUCUCUCUCAGAGGGCUGCCUUCAGACCUCCAGAAUUCACUUUUCCUGAAAGUCCCAAGAGCUCUGAGUCCUGGGAGUGGACAUUCUUUGGGGCAGCCCUUUAGCAAUAUUGAUGAGAGUGGGGGUAUCAGUUCCCCAACUCCCUUGCCAAUGGGGUACCUCCCAGACCUCCCCUGCAGAAAUAAGCCAAAGUUGUGUUCUUGCCUGGAGAAUCCCAGGGACGGGGGAGCCUGGUGGGCUGCUGUCUGUGGGGUCACACAGAGUCAGACACGACUGAAGUGACUUAGCAGCAGCAGCAGUCCUAAGUGGGACUUUUCUUGAUUUCUCACCCUUGCUGGAUUUUCUUCUUUUUCUGUCCCACCUCCAUCACUCUCCUACUGGCUUUUCCUGGAACGUUUUCUAAUAAGUGACACUCUCAGGGAUUCUUGUCCUUGGAGGUGAUUCCAAGGUAAGGCAACCCUGGGCAGCCAGUGGCAUUGGAGCAAAAUGAAUGAAGAACGAGGUAUGAGAUAGGGUUCCAGAGACAGGUCAGGCACUGUGUAGCAAGUACUUGUACCCCUGUACAAGCAAGCAGGAAAUUGCAUUACCUAACGUACGUAUGCAAAAGCAUCACCCUGUGGGCAAUGGCCGGAGAGAGAAUUGGUUGGGUGAGGGAAAGAGUAAAACCUCAAACCAAAUUCAAAGCCAGUAAUCCUCCCUGUGCUGACAUCUCUACCAAUUUCUUUUUAUCUUUUCAAUUGGGAUAAAACGAUCUACCCUUUGGCUAUGCCUCAAAGAUGGUGUGAGGAUGAAAAGAUGAUUUGCAUAAACUUAUCGCUCGCUGCAAAAGAUUUGCCCAAUAAAAUCCACUAUUAUUAUUGAUAAAAAUAAAAAUAGCAAUGCAAGCUCAUAGCCAAUCUCUGGAGAAUUUUCAUACAUUAAUGGGAAAAUUAAGUGUUAUACUGAAGACGGGAGCAACUGUUGCUAAGUUUCUCUGUUGUUUGGACCAUUGUUGCACCUUUGAAUGUGUGCAGAAACAAAAUAGCUGACGCAAAUAUUUGUGACCCAACCUGGUUCAGCCUGACUUAGAGAUAAGGAUCUUUUGAAAAAUGGCAGCAAUGAAACCAGCAUUCCAGGUUUUUCCUUUUAGGAGAAAGGGAUAGCUUAUUUAAAAAUGAAAAAAAAAAAAGUAUAAAUGGAGAUUUAAAAAUAUUGGUUUAUGUUCUAGAUACAGAUACACAUAAAUAAUCUCCAUACAAAUGAGUUCAUGUG
ensembl:lncRNA